CGAAAUUAAAUGGUGCGUGUGUUGUCCUUGAAUGUGUUUCGUUCUAGUGAUUUAGUGGUUAAAUUUCACUUUUGUUUGCCAUAGAAUUCUAUAUUUUAUUUGUGCUGCAAUUAAUUUCAGUGAAUUAUAAUGAAAUCUUUGAUAUGUUUCUUUUGCUUGCUUUCUUUUGUUAUCGAUUGUUGAUCUUUGAAUUAUGAGAUUUUUGCAAUGUAAAAAAUAACAUACCGAUUGUGAUAUACUUCUUUAUAGUCUUCAAUUAUUUAAUAAAUUUGUAUUUGUCGUUAAUUAUUGAUUAUAUAAAUUAGAAAAGAAUUGAAAUUAAAAUUAAAAUUUAGAGUUUGAUUUUUUUGACAGUGAUUUGAGAAUGUAUAAUUUUAUUCUCAGAAUUAAUAGACGGAUGUGUAACAGAACAACCGUAACAGAUUUUUAGAUUAGCGAGCUAGUUUCUCCUUAAUCAGUAAGCUUUGAUAAGAUCCUGUUUUGUACACUCAAUCGAUCAAAGAAGCAUACCACUCAAAAGCUUUACAUUUCAAACUGUUCGUCUUUUUAAUAGAAGAUGCAAUUCUAAAAUUACUUCCUCUUAUACGUUAGAACUAACCAUAAUAAAUUUAACUUUUUAUUCAAUACAAGUUUGAUUUAAGAUUAAAUUUUCGAUAUAAAAUAAAUUGAAGUUUGAAUUUAAUAUCCUUCCUAAAUCAGACAUUCCAUAAAAAUCGAUGAAAUAAAAUACGAAACUACUACGCAAUAAAUAAUACAAUGUGAAUAAUAUAAAUACAUAUAUUUUUUUUUUAUUUAUUCAAAAUCACAUUUACACAUCCUAGAACGAUUACGUCGCCAUAUUCUAUUAUCAUAUAUCAAAUUCUUGUAUUUACAAACACAAAGACGAGCAUCACAGAAUUGACAGAAGUGAAUAAUAGAUAAUUUUUCAAAACACAGAGAAUUAAAAAUUUUUUCCUAUUUAACACUAUAUAUAUGUUUCAACAUACUAUCAACGGAUUACAGACAUGCCCGGUCCCGUUUAAAACGCGCCUUUUUGCCGCGUGCAUCGUAUCCGCUGCUAGGAUAACGUUGGUACGUGAAGCAGGGUGCAGUAGUUGAUACUCGUUAAAGUAGUAACAACUUUACCGACAAUACCGUUGGGUGUAUAAUAUACGCGCAUUGGAAUGUAUGCAAACUAGGCUAGAAUACAAAUCAGAUGCUGAGAGGUUUGGCGUGAAGUUUAAGAAGUUUUGUCUACCCGAAUGAAUAGCGUGGUGGAUAUCAUGGAUAAAUGACUCGAGAGUCUGGGUCAGGACUAAAGAGGUUAUUACUUUUCUUAAGAUGCCGGAAACUUGAAUAAUUCUUUCAUUAAAAUUGCGCCAUAGUAUAUAUCAUAAUCAUUCAACAUUAAAUGAUGGAGCAAAAAGACUUUGUGUCGUGAGAGAUGUACGAAGUGUUCAUUUGAAUCGAUACAACAUUGCAAUUCUUAAGCUGUGGAAGUAGCGACAUGAUGGAUGUCCCAUAUAUUAUGUACACGGUGUAAGAGCUAUCUCCCAAUGAGAUUUUUCCGUAUAGGUAAAUAGUUUUUAAUACUAUAAUAUACUAUAUAUAAAUUCAUAUUUAUUAUAUUUAAUAAAAAUAUUAUAUCAAUAUAUUUUUAAUAAAAAUAUUUCGGACGAAUUUCGUGUGAAAUAUAAUAUGAUAUUGUUAGAAUUUGAAUUGGUUAUCUCGAUCAUUGAUUUCAACAUGUUAUCGAAAUAGACACUCUGAUUUGACAUGAAAUGUCAACUAAAUUAACUGACAGCGCGCUAUAAAAAGAUUUCCAUAAAUUUUCAUUAUUCCCGUAAAAAUGGAGUGCCUUUGAGGGCAACAAUCGCGGAAGCGCGGUUUUUCCAACAGAGCGAUAACAAAGUUAUACGAUAAUUGAGAUUUCCUCUGGCACUUUGCAUCGUUGACGUUUCCGUUAAGCUACCAUUUUGUUAUAUCUUUAUAAAGGAUAAAUUUUUCAAAAUUUAUCAAUUUGUUCUGUUCAUAAAAAUAAGACAAAAAUAUUGAAUGAAUCUAUUGUCAUCGAUGUUUCAUUAUAAUGUCAUAAAAGAUGUAACAAUGUGAGAAAUUUAAAUAGGAUAAUAGGUUAAAAAAUUAAAUAUCGAUUUAAUUUCCACACGAUAAAAGGUGAAUGAUAUUUACAUUUCCAUCGAAUAAAAUAUGAUGAAUCGAAAUAUUUAAUACACAAUACGAGAUUGACGAUCUAUCUAAAUAAACUACACAUAAGUAGUGCCAAGUUUACACAUACAUUUUAAAUUUAAUUGUUGCUUUUACUACAUACAUAAUGCUAAUCUACACUUAAUAUAAAAUACUCUUAUAUAUAAAUAUACGUAGAUAGACUGGAUACAUAGAUAAAUUACACUGAUGUUAACUUCAAGAUAAAAGAUUCGUUGGCGAAACGUUUCUCAGCCAGAAGAAACGAGGAGAAGAAAGAAGAAAAAAGAAAGAAAAAUGAAAGGUGGCAUCUCGACGGUGCGGGUAUCCAGGCGAAGUCGACCCUUAUCGUUUCGCGAAUGGCCACGUGAUCGAAUUUAGCCGAGAUUGAAGCUGACCGUGCACGGUCGUACAGGACUUCCGGUUUUUCACGGAAGACCCGGAAUAGUGUGCCAAAUCCGCACGACGUGCAGCAACUUCGCCUGGUACCUGCUACCUGAUAUGAUUUUCGGCAUGCCUUCGUUCAGCUCCGGGAAAAUGGAAUUUCCUCUCGUCUCAUUUUCGUAUGCGUACUUUUCUAUGUAGUACGUGUGUUCGCAACCCUGACGAACGAGAGAUAUAUUGCUAAAAUAUCAAAUUCGUAUUUCUAAUAAUGUUCAUUUUUUCAAAGAAUGAUAAAAUUAGAACUUUUCAGAAACAAUAUGAUUUCUAGAUAACUGUGCGUGAUGAUCUUACUUUAAAAUAAUCAAUGAUCAAUUGUCAACUUGUUGACAAUAUUAUUGGCAUAUAUUAUUGAUCAUAUAUGCUGUCACGAAGAGAUUAAAAUAGAUUAAAAAUGAUAAAUUUGUAUCGGAAAUUUUCAAAAAUAUUAUUGAUCAAAUAUCAUUGAUUAAAGCUUCUUUGAAGAACUUUAAACGAGCGAAGAAAUGCUGGAAUAAUAAUCGGUAUAAUUACGCAAAGGUGUUUAAAACAGAUUAAAACUGAUAAUCAUAAAAGAAAUGGGAGGAAGCACAUAGGCGAAAUAACCGUACUACCAAUUAUGUCGUUGACUCCUUAUUACACGGAAGUAAUCAGCCUAUCAGUAUCAUCUGUGCAACCCGAUCUGAAAAAAGGAAAAACGACGAGGGUUGAGGGUGAUGGGACACGAGAAAAUCAUUAUUGGCCGCAAUCACGCGAAGUUCGCACUGUGUCGAAGUUUACACUCGAAUUCACCCUCGUGUUCAAAACCACUCUUCUUUCGACAACACGCUUUUCAUGUGGCACCGCGAACUGACCAAAUUGAAAACAGAGGGAAAAUGUAGAGAUAUAAAAAGAGAGAAAAAAAAAGAGAGGUUCGGUUCGAGGGCAGGGUGAACGAGAAAUGUUUACUCGAACUUUCGAGAGAUUGUCGUCAGCGAGAGAGAACAGGAAGGACGACCCGUUUUAUCCGUAAAACGGUGUUUCACUCUGGAUGGGAUUUUUGGAAAAUUUCAUUUCGCUCGUUCGGGUAAUGUGAUAACGGCCACGUGAAUUUGUAUGCGUUAUAGAAAUGUUUAUAAAAUUGGAGAUGAGAACGAAAGUAAAAAGUAAUACAUAUCCUUUUCUUUAACUGCGUUGCUGCCGCAUUUGUAUAUUAAUUAGAAAUUGUUUAACAAAUUAAUAUGUUGUGUUACAUAGUGUGUGAAAUUUCCUUUUUCUUAUUACGUAUAUAUUCGAUAAAUGAAUAAUUUUUCCUAUAUGAAAAUUAUUUGUAAACGAUUUUAAUGUAAAAAAUAAGAAUAGAUAGAAAAAUGUAAUGCACUAUAUAAUUAGAAAAAUGAUGUAUUUAAUGUUAAUUAUUAUCUGGAAUGAAUUUAUAAAAAGUGUAUUAACAUAAAUGUCAUCAACACAUUCAUCAAGAACCUUUGAAGUAUCUUCUCUCAACUGAAACUAACUCUUUGACGCGAGAAGAAUAUUGCUCGAGAUGCUUUUAAAUAGUAACGAAGGAAAAUAAAAAUUGUGUCUUUAUAAGAAA